rnacentral:rRNA from 1 species
GACAUUGAUCUAUCACAAUCCACACACCGUGAACUUUAUCUGUUGGCUCCACGUGCAGGGCAACUUGCACGCUGGCUGAGAGCGGGUUGGUGGCAACACUGGCUCGCACUCAGGUCGUCGUAAGCCUAAUUGAUGCAUCUGAAUUGAUUAGACCACUUACGGCGUCAGUCUUAUCUAACCAACCAACACCAAACCAAAUAUACAUUAAAUCGAGUGUGCGGCUUAGAGCCGUCACUCACCAACCAAGACAACUCUCAACAACGGAUAUCUUGGCUCUCAGAUCGAUGAAGAACGCAGCGAAAUGCGAUACGUAGUGUGAAUUGCAGAAAUACGUGAAUCAUCGAAUUUUUGAACGCAUAUUGCGCUCGAGGCUUCGGCCAAGAGCAUGUCUGCCUCAGCGUCGGGUUAAUACUCGCCCUCUCAAUCCCUCUGUGGAAUGAGUUGCGUGCGGAUCUGGCUUUCCCGGGAAUAUUUACUCGUAGAUAAUCCCGGGUUCGCUGAAGAAUAGAGGUUAAUGCAUGGACCCGCUAAUGGGCCUCUACUGGGUAGGCAAUUCGUUGCUAUAUGCUUUAGUAGUUGGCUUGGGGACGGCGUUGGCCCAAACCAGGAACUCUCUCCUUGUGAGUGAGCACCCAUCUAUUUUCUCGACCUGAGCUCAGGCAAGAACACCCGCUGAACUUAAGCAUAUCAAUAAGCGGAGGAAAAGAAAUAAACCAGGA